UACGUAGGGGGCAAGCGUUAUCCGGAUUUAUUGGGCGUAAAGAGCUCGUAGGCGGCCGAUCGCGUCGGAUGUGAAAGCUCAGGGCUUAACCCUGAGACGCCAUUCGAUACGGAUCGGCUAGAGGUAGGUAGGGGAAAGUGGAAUUCCUGGUGUAGCGGUGAAAUGCGCAGAUAUCAGGAGGAACACCGGUGGCGAAGGCGGCUUUCUGGGCCUUACCUGACGCUGAGGAGCGAAAGCUGGGGGAGCGAAC
rnacentral:rRNA from 1 species